GAUGAACGCUGGCGGCGUGCCUAAUACAUGCAAGUCGAGCGAACAGACGAGGAGCUUGCUCCUCUGACGUUAGCGGCGGACGGGUCAGUAACACGUGGAUAACCUACCUAUAAGACUGGGAUAACUUCGGGAAACCGGAGCUAAUACCGGAUAAUAUAUUGAACCGCAUGGUUCAAUAGUGAAAGACGGUUUUGCUGUCACUUAUAGAUGGAUCCGCGCCGCAUUAGCUAGUUGGUAAGGUAACGGCUUACCAAGGCGACGAUGCGUAGCCGACCUGAGAGGGUGAUCGGCCACACUGGAACUGAGACACGGUCCAGACUCCUACGGGAGGCAGCAGUAGGGAAUCUUCCGCAAUGGGCGAAAGCCUGACGGAGCAACGCCGCGUGAGUGAUGAAGGUCUUCGGAUCGUAAAACUCUGUUAUUGGGGAAGAACAAAUGUGUAAGUAACUAUGCACGUCUUGACGGUACCUAAUCAGAAAGCCACGGCUAACUACGUG
rnacentral:rRNA from 1 species